rnacentral:sRNA from 1 species
AGCGAGAGAACGUUGCCGCAGGCAACGGCCCGAAGGGCGAGGCGCUUUAGCACCGAGUAAUCCUUCCCCCACCACCA